ACCUCUGUGGCUCAGUACGCUAAGCUGUGGACUCCUGUUCUACAGAUCCCAGGUUCGAAUCCCGACAGUAGAGGAA